UACUUAGGGUGCAAGCGUUAAUCGGAAUUACUGGGCGUAAAGCGCUCGUAGGCGGCUUGUUAAGUCGGAUGUGAAAUCCCCGGGCUCAACCUGGGAACUGCAUUCGAUACUGGCAAGCUAGAGUAUAGUAGAGGCAAGUGGAAUUCCGGGUGUAGCGGUGAAAUGCGUAGAUAUCAGGAGGAACAUCAGUGGCGAAGGCGACUGUCUGGACCAAUACUGACGCUGAGGUGCGAAAGCGUGGGGAGCAAACAGGAUUAGAAACCCCAGUAGUCC
rnacentral:rRNA from 1 species